rnacentral:piRNA from 1 species
UAUCCUGACUGAUACGUAGAGCAUGGU